CCUCAGCUGGCCCUGCCUCUGCCACGGGGGAGACCUCAGGGUCCAAGAAUCGUCCCCUGGGAGCAGGAAAGCCAAGUCCAGAAGGAGAGGGACAGGGGCUGUGGAAGAUAUGACAGCAGUGUCCUUGCCUGAGGAGCAUACUUAGUGCAUCUUUCUCACUCCCAUCCCCACAGACAGAAUUACAGUAUCUCAUCUCAGAUGGGCCUCGAAAGACAUUCUUUACAGAUGCUGGCCUCACUGUCGGGGCGGGGCUUCAGGUCUCUAACCGCCCCAGCCCCAGGACAGCAGUGGAAAGUCACACGCAGCUCGGGAUGCCCGCAGAGCCCCUCCUGACCUCAGUCACCUGAUGAACCCAUCUCUCCAGAUCACUCUGGCGUCCCUUUCUCCGUGGAGCCUUCAGGGAUGAUGUCCCCAGGCAGUUUCCCACUCUCUCCUCCCUUCUGCCACAGCAUUUGUUGUCACUCACUAUGUCUUUUUGUUCACUCGUCCUUGUUCCCAAAAAGACCGUGGGCUCUUUGAGCGUCUUCUCUGGUCCGUGCCGAGUGCACAAUGGUAUCUCGAUAGAUCUUAGACGCUAGAUCACCUUGUUCAGUCAUUCUCAAACAUCUAUGCAUGAGAAUGACCCGAAGAAGGGGUUCAAAUGCAGAUUCUCAGACCCCAGCUGAGCAGUUGUGAAACCUGGGUCUUUAAUUAAAGAUCAGGCAAUUGUGACGCACAUAUGUUCACAACCCACCCUUUAAGAAAUACAGAUUUGUUCAAACUUCCCAUUUUGCAGGUGGAGAAACAGAGGGCUGGGGAUGCAGUCCUGAUUCAAGACCCUUAGCUACUUAGCGCAGUGGGACAGCAUGGUACUUUGAACUAGAACUAUCUUAAAUUCUCAUGAAGUGAAGUAAGCGAACCACAGCCACGCUGAGGAACGUUAAAAAUACCGCGAGCUAAAAUAAUUGCGUACCACACCUUAAAACAUUGACAAGACUCUCCAUGGCCAGAUGCCUCUGCCGCGGUCCACGAUGAGAUGAUGGUACCUUUCUUCCUGUUACUGGCAGGGUCUCCUUAGAAUUUGAAGCGUUUUCUUGCUGACGCCAGAACAAUGACUUCUGCCUCUAAAGUGUCAUUUGCCUCAAUGGCUGCCCAAAGAGGCCAUCUGGCACAAGCUCUAGUGCCCGCGGGUGCGCCCUGCCCACCUUCGGAGGCUGUCAGUUUGCCGCCGCAGGCACAGGGCCCCGAAGAAGAGCCGGUGGUCAGAUGUCUGGCUCACGCCUGUUUUUAUGGGCGAACCCUUAUUUCAUCUGCCCGUUGUUUGGUGAGUGCCACGCGUGCUGGUUACCGCCUUGGACAGCAGGUGCCACCUAGAGGGCCCUGUGACUGCUUCCGUGGUUUCACAGUGGCGAGCUGGGCGGCCUCGGGGCCCCAGGGAAGCUCUGCAGCCACCCGCUAAGGGUUACACCAGCCCCCACGCGGGCCUGGCACUUCGGCUUUAGAGGAGACCGUCGCCAGGGGAGCCCAGGAAGGAUAGAGGAAGGCUAUCUGGCUGGUUCCUAGCUUCCAGCUUCCUCACUUGGUGGGACUCCGAGAGGAAAUGAGCAGGAACUCUGUUCCUCGGCCACAAGGUGUCAGCAGUGGGCUGGCCAGGUGCGAGCUCUGCGCGCAGCCCCGGGAGGAAAGCGCCGGCAGGCACACAAGGUGCUGCCGGUCGCCUUUGAAACUCCUUAUUUGGAGGAAGCCUCUUUCUCAUUAGGAACAGCACAUUGAUUAAGGUACCAAAAGACCCGCCUUUCGGUCUUGCCCGUGGACCAACCACAUGCCUCCAUCUGCCCUCAGAAGAGCGAAGCCGCCGCUGCAGGGCCUUGACUGGAAGAGGUCCCACAGGUGGGGGUUGGGGGUAACGCCGCAGGAAGCGGUGACGUACAGAAGACAAUGGGGGCACAGAAGAGAGUAGGACAUGGACAUGAGUUCUGGCUUGUUUACUUGCUCGCUGUGAAUUUGGAGUCUGGGUUUGCUUCCCCAUUUCUAAAAUGCCAUAUUCCCCAUUUUUCAAAUGGCAACAGUCACAGGAUCGUUGUGCGGAUCAAGUGAGAUGAAAUGAUUUGCAAACCAUGAGGUUCCACAUAAGCAUGGGUGCCGUGGUUGGGGUUCAUCUUUCCACCCGAGUUGUGUCACAGGGCUUCCUCCAGACUGGAGGAACAGAGCCCGAAGCAGGGGAAGGGGCCAGCUCUUCUCCAUGUGGGUCACUGGAGUCCCCUGCGCGAGCCGCCGGCCAUAAACUCCUGAUCUGGCCUGAUAGAGUCAUCUUCCAGCAAGAUUCUUCCUGGAUGCCUUUCCAUGGCUUGUUUCCAAGCAGAAAGCUGGCAACGGCUGCUCACUCUUCCUUCUUCACUGAGCCUUCUUUUCCAUAUUGGAAGAAGAUGAAAUGCACAUUUCAGAAUGUAAGUUUUUCCUGUAGGACACUAUCCCCAAUGGUGGAGUGAUGGAGAAAAAUAUUAGAUGAAGUCAGGGGAUAACUGAGUAACAUACUGAUUUAUAAACUCAUGGAAUGAAAUGAAGGCGUUUUUUCCACUGGUGGGGUUAUUUAUUAUGUCCUAGCUGGCCAGCUCCCAGGGUUGAAAAGGCUUUGGUUCCUGAGUAGUAGAAAUAGCAGGAACCAAUUUUCUCCACUGCUCCUCUUUCAAAAACACAGAACUCAGCUGAUGCUGAAAUACAUCCAGUCAUAGGCCCAACUCGGGAUUCUCCUGCUCAACACCUCAUUGGGGUGAGUGGGACUGAUGCCCAGAUCCCAUCACUCCGGGAUGAUGGCAGAGAGGUGAGGCCGUCGCCACAGGUCACUGUGCUGUGGACCCUUUCCUGGGGCCCAUCCCCUGGUGGAAACCAACUACCCUGAAACCAUCCCACAAAAAACCCUGAUGGGAUUUUGAUUGUAAUUUUACUAAGUUAUAUAUCAAUUUAUGGAAAAGCGACACCUUCAUGGCAUAGAGUUUUUCCUUCCAUGAACAUGGUGCUUCUUUCCGUUUAUUCCAUUUCUCCUUUAUCUUUCAAGAAAAAAAAAUGUUUCUUUGUAAAGGAAAAUUUGUUUCUUUGUAAAAAUUUGUUUCUUUGCACA